rnacentral:lncRNA from 1 species
GCCAGAAAUGUGCAUGAGCAAAGUUGUUCUUCCCAAGGCAGACCCACCCAGAGGACCAUGAGAAGAGAACCUUGUCCCAACACUGAUUUUGUUACACUGGCCACAGAGAUGGUGCUUCUGCCUUUCUCUGGGACACAGGACCCGCUCUGAGGAUGGGAGUUAGAGAUGAGCAGGUGGGAGAGUCGGUGAUAGUUCUAACUCCUCAGCUGAGCAUCUGAGGUCAGAAGUACAAUUCCCAAAGAGGCUGCUCAGCGUGCCCUGCUGGAGAAGGCUGCUCAACUCAACCCAAUUCACCGGGGUUCCCACCCGCUGUUAUUCACUGAGUAUGUAUUGAGCACCAACUACAUAACAAGCACUGUGCUAAGCACCAGAGGUAGAAGACAUAGUUCCUGCCUUUAUGGAGCUUAGAGUCUGGCAGAGGCCCCUGAGAGUUCAUCACGAGUCUCUCUCUCUCUCUAAACUCUCAUGAUGGCCAGAGGAAAGUGGGAGGAAGCAAGGUUCUUCCCUCUGUAAGCUUGCUGGGGAGAUAAGCAAGAUUCACAUGCAGGAAACACUCAGAGAAUGAGGCAAUGAUUAGUAGGUAUAUGGUUGACUCUGGUAACCACAUGUUGAAGUGUGCCCAUAAGUGCUCUGGGUGGACCCAGGGGGCAGCCUGAAUGACUUCCCAAGCUUUAUGGAAAAAUGCUACAAUGUGAU